rfam:Triticum aestivum genome assembly, contig: Triticum_aestivum_CS42_TGACv1_scaffold_433434_5DL
CAGGUACUCCCUCCGUCCUGAAUUAUUUGUCGCGGAAAUGGAUGUAUCUAGACGUAUUUUUAGUUCUAGAUACAUCCAUUUUCACCAGUCUCCGCGAGAAGUAAUUCGGGGCAGAGGGAGUAUGAA